rnacentral:rRNA from 1 species
AUGAAUUCAAACUGUCUUGCAGUCAGAAGGUGUCAGGUCAUGUUGCGUGCAUCUGUAGUCAUUUGGAUGGCAUUUCAGCAGAUUCCAUUGAGCAAAUUGCACCAACAGUGCUUGCUGCGGUACCGAGGAGAAUCACCAAUUCUAGAAUGGUUGAAAGACCUUGAAAGAGAACUUGAUGACCCAAUGAUUAGCCCAGCACUUCUCUCCUUUGGUCAUUGCAAUAUCCAGACUAGUGACAGAGUUGAGGGUCAGGUUGUUUGGCCAUGGUCUACUGGGUACCUACAGCGCCAUAUUUGUUUACUGUGCAUUCUUUCAAGAAUCAUUUGA